rnacentral:rRNA from 1 species
GACGAGCCUCACAAACGUUAUUCGGAAUUACUGGGCUUAAAGGGUGCGUAGGCGGCGUGGAAAGUUGGGUGUGAAAUCCCUCGGCUCAACCGAGGAAUUGCGCUCAAAACUACCAUGCUCGAGGGAGAUAGAGGAAUGCGGAACUUACGGUGGAGCGGUGAAAUGCGUUGAUAUCGUAAGGGAACACCGGUGGCGAAAGCGGCAUUCUGGAUCUCUUCUGACGCUGAU